rnacentral:lncRNA from 1 species
GAGGAGAUUUCUUGGGUGGUGGAGGAGAGCUAUAGUAGUAUGGUGGAGGUGGUGACUUAACUGGUGGUGGUGGAGAAGUGUAGUGAUAUGGUGGAGGAGGUGAUUUCUUGGGUGGUGGAGGAGAGUUGUAGUAGUAUGGUGGAGGAGGUGACUUAACCGGCGGUGGUGGAGAAGUGUAGUGAUAUGGUGGAGGAGGUGAUUUCUUGGGUGGUGGAGGAGAGUUGUAGUAGUAUGGUGGAGGAGGUGACUUAACCGGCGGUGAUGGAUAAGUGUAGUAGUAGUAUGGUGGAGGAGGUGACUUAACCGGCGGUGAUGGAUAAGUGUAGUGAUAUGGUGGAGGAGGUGAUUUCUUGGGUGGUGGAGGAGAGCUAUAGUAGUAUGGUGGAGGAGGUGACUUAACCGGCGGUGGUGGAGAAGUGUAGUGAUACGGUGGAGGAGGUGAUUUCUUUGGUGGUGGAGGAGAGCUAUAGUAGUAUGGUGGGGGAGGUGACUUAGCCGGCGGUGGUGGAGAGUUGUAGUAGUAAG